CGGUAUUUUUCGUAUGAUUUUCCCGUCGUCAACCCUUAGCCAAUAGGAGCUAAGCAAAAGCCGAGUGUCGUUCGUCGACUCUCGGAAUCAUUCGGUUCGGCAUGGCUCGACGGCCAUCGAGCGUCGAGAGUCGAAACAAAUGUCAUCAUUCAUAACCUGCCAAGUGUCAAAAGCUUUUACACUAUUGCAUUAUUAAUUAUAUUUACAUUAGCAAAAUGUUUUCAAUUUAGACUUUUUAUGUAGGGUUUAAUAACAAAUUGCAGCCAGUGUUGUAAAGUGUUGAUCAGUCUUGACAACAAGAUCCAUACCACCAAAGUGUUUUGAAUUUAGACUUUUUAUGCAGAGCUUAUACAAAUGAAGGGGACCACAGGUUUGGAGGUUAUUCGUUAACAAAUUGGAGCAACUGUUGUAAAAUGUUUAUCUAUUUUCAUUACAAGAAAGUUCAAAGCGAACAUGGACGUUCGCAGGACGUUCCGGCCGGACGUCCGACAACGGACGUCGGACGGUUGGACGUAAACUGGACAUAAAAUGGACGACCAUGGAACGUCCGGUGGUAUCUGGGCGAAUCAUUUUCUCAUUUCAUCAUUAGCAUUAAAAUUUUUUGCAGCAAGAAAAAAAGUUGCAUGUAUAUAUAAUUAUUUAUAAAUUGAACGAGUACCAGUUAUGCUAAAUCUAGCACAUUGAGAGCAAAUGAUUGAAAGGCCACUAAGGUAAGACUACCAGUAGUUGACCAUGUACCAGUUGUUGACACUUCCAGAAGAAAAAGGAUGAAAAUAAGAGUCUCAACGGUCAUAUCCUUAAUCGAAAAGCAUCAUUCAACAGCAAUGCAGUCUGUAUUGUAAUAUAUGUACAUAUAAAACAAUAAACAGCGUUCACAUAAAUCAAUCUUCAUUCAGCGAAUUUAAAUCUCUCCAUCUUUUCCAAUGUUUUCCAUAAACAGAAUAAAUGGGACUAUAUACUCAUUUUUGUUAUCAUUUUUAAAAUUGUCCGUGGUAUGAAAACAAGGUAUUGGUUUCAAACAUUUUUUUUUUAAUUUUUAACAAAAUUUUUGAUUACACUAGAAUUAUUUUGUAACCCCAAGAAAGCUAAUUUCCAUCCGUUAACUAGUUUAAUAGUUAUAAUUUCUUGAAUAAAAAAAGAUACCACAAAACUUUAAAUAAAUGUAAAACCGUAAAUUUUCCUUUCUUUCGACGGAGGAAUAUUUUUAGCAAA